UGCACGGUAGCCAAGUGGAAAGGCCCGCGGCCGUUAACCGCGUCAUCGCAAGUUCGAAUCUUGCCCGUGCAG
rnacentral:tRNA from 1 species